rnacentral:lncRNA from 1 species
AACUGUACCAACAUUGACUGCUUGCAAAUCUCGUGUGCAGUGGGUCGCCUGGGAGGAGGAGAAAGUGCAGUUCUGAAGGUCAGAUCGAGAUUGUGGGCGCACACAUUCCUCCAGAGAAAGAACGACCCUUAUGCUCUUGCAUCCCUGGUGUCCUUUGAAGUCAAGAAGAUACCUUAUAAAGAGCAGCCAGCAAAACUGCCAGCCGGGAGCACAGCGAUUAAGACAUCGGUUAUUUGGGCCACUCCAAAUGUCUCCUUCUCAAUUCCACUGUGGGUCAUAAUACUAGCGAUCCUUCUUGGCUUGCUGGUUCUGGCCAUCUUAACUUUAGCUUUAUGGAAGCUUGUUUUUCUCUCUACUAGUGUGGAUUCUUUGAUAGAGCAAGACCUCCUCAGGAUGAAAUGACAGACAGGGAACAACUGACCAGUGACAAGACCCCGGAGGCUUGACUUGGAACCAUGAACACCUAAAAUUCAAGCACUGGUCCUGUUCAA